AUGGAGAGGGGGGAGAGAACCCUCCUUUCUCUCUCUAGAGAUCUCUCUCAUCUCUCUAUAUCUCUCGCUCAAAUUCGCGGGGUUGGUGGAGAAGAUGCUUGCGAACGCGUUGGAGGCGACGGAUUGAGCUUUCGUGCACCCGUUGGAGCGGCGUGUUUUCGUCGCGGCGUUCACAUUGAGGUAAGCUUUUAGAAUUUGGCUUAAUCCUUAGUUCUAAGUGUUCUAAAUACCUCUAAUGAGCAUUCUAAACAUGCUCUCUCUAUUUAAUUUGGAUUAUUUAGAGGUUAAUUGCAUGUUAGGGCUCCGAAUGGGGUUUUGUAAAAUAUAUGGGUUUGAUCUCAUUUGACCCUCCGUAAACCAAAUUGCUAGGUAAACGAACGCGUUGGCGAAGACGGUUCGGCAAUCCGACGAGCCGUUACAAAGUUAUUAAAGAAAUGGACGUUUAGGCUUCGGGUCCGCCGGGAGGGCCGAGGCGACGUCGUAAAAUCGUGGAAAUGGAUUUGAGGCAUCGUGGCACAUAACCGAAGACCUAUAAUUUUCGGGGCUGCGAAGCGGAGCACGGUUGAGGUGCAGUUGCAGUAUCGGGCCGUGCCGGGUGCCGGGUGCCGCGGGAGGCCGAUUGCAAGUGACUACAAGCAAUCGAAACGCGAGUUAAGGUGGGUUGUGCUUACCGAAGCGACUAGGUCGCCUUUAUGUCUAAGCAAACAUAUAUAUGUAGACAUAUUGUGGAAUAUGAUGAAUGAGUGCAUGUUGAUUUAUUGUAGAAUAUACUAGAUGAAUGUAUAUUGACAUAUUGUGGAUUAUGUUAAAUGACACAUGCAUGUUGAACUUGGGUCGAUAAACUCUAGGUGAAUUAGAGAACUCGACAUUGGAAAACAAUGACAUAUGAACUAUGAUAUGUGACGUGGACAAUCUAUAUAUAUUAGAUCGAGUGGCAUAUGAUUAGUAUAGUGGAAGUACUAAUGGCAUGUUGAACACUUAGAAAACAAGAGUGGCAAGAGUCCAAGAAUAUAGUAGUGUAUAUGACACAAGUGAUAGUAAGGAAUGCAAAGAAAAGAAUGAUUGAAAUAUUAUGACAUUUCAACCCUAGAGUUAUGGUCAUUUGAGUAUAGUCUUCCUAAAGUUAAGGAAUGGAUUGAACUUUGAGUCCUCAAAUGUAGGAUUGAUCAUACUCACUUUUAGUCCUUGCUCGAGGUUGUGGUAGCUCCCCCUCGGGCGAUGUGCUCCGGAGUCGACAUCACUGGGUUGUAGCGAGUAUCUCCCCAGAGGACGGUCCCACCGGGUUGUAGCGGGUAUCUCCCUGGUUAAUGGGAUUUUGGGUUGGUGAGUUUGUUGAGGGCGAAACCAUCGGGUUAGCCAAGUGAUUGGGUAAUAGACUUAUGAGCUAUAGUGAUAUCCUAGUUGAGGGGAUUUAAGACCGAGGUGCAAGUGAGACGUCCUUCGCCUCGGGCCUGGCUUUGUGCGGUAAUCCGCAGACGAUUGACUCAAGACCGAGUCGAGCGGUUAGCUUUGUAAAGAUAGAUAAAGCUUUAUGAUUAAAAUGGUAAAUGACAGAAAACCUUAAAUGUCAAUUGGAUGAAAGUAGUAAUCGAUUGAAUUACUAGUUGGUUGUAUAGUCGCAUCAUUGCAUGAUCUUCAUAUUGCAUUCGUGAGGCAAUGCAUGGUUUUAUUCGUUGCAUAAUCAAGAUAUAUAUAUCUAUCUGUUUAUUGAACUAACUUGCAGUUGCCUCCCUUGGACUUAUUGGUCGAGCUUUUUCCUUGGGUGGCCGUACCCACUGGGAGCCAUGGAGUUGGUUCUCACCCCACGUGGUUUUGGGGUAUUACAGGUUCACACGUGAGCGGCGCGGCGGCGCGAGGCGAGGGCGUAUCUCCAUAGUUAGCGCCCUACCACUGAGACUAGAGAUAGCGGUACCCUGAGUCGGCCUUUACUUAGUGAUGUAAGAAAAUGAAAAGAAUCAAGUUGUAAUAAUUUGUAAUAAAAGCUAGAUUGUACUUGGAAGUUAAAUGUAAUAAGUAAUUGUGAUGUAAAAUGUAUCUGGUGAAUGUGAAUGCUUGUAAUAGCAAGUAGAUUAUGUUUUUGAUACUUCCUUAUGCAAUCCUUGAUUAAAAUGUGUUCCUGGUUGGAACUUUGUACAUUAUAUUGAUUGCGACGCCUUGAAUGUACAGGGGAGACUCUGUCCGCGAUACCAGGGAAAUCCUGUCCGUUCGGCGGUCUGUCGGCGUGCCCGAAACCGGCCAAAUAGGCGGGCUCGGGGCGUGACAGAUAAGAUGGUAUCAGAGCAUAAAAAGAACAUAAAAAGAAUAAUAGAAAAUGGUUUAGUUGGACCUAGAAGACCCUAGGAUAGUAAACCAUAGGAGAUUAAGGUUCGUGAGAGACGAGAACUUGUGACUUUUGGCGAAAGGUUAAUUGAUUGGGUUGUGUCGUAAACCUCUGAAACGGAUAUUAGAGGUAGAUUUAAAGUGUGGUUUAUUCUCAACCGAUUGUGUUCGUGUUGGGCGCGCACAACAUGAAACCGAGUGAUGAGAAUAGACGCCCUUGCGUGACUUUCGCCCGAUUUGAGUCGGUAUUAAGUGUCUCGUGUUCGACCUAGAAGGUCGAGGAUUAGUAAAGUUGUCGCGUUUUAGGAAACGACAGCACUGCGUAGGCGAUCUUUGUUUAGAUCGGCGCGGGAUGGGCCAAGUGGUGUCCCUGGGCAAUUUGAGACGAGCGGAGACUUGAGACUUCGCGAGCGAUUGGCCACUCUCGUGUGUGUGGCGGGGUAAUGAGUUGAAUUAGUGCAGUGUCAGCAGAAGGCUGCCAUAUGCCAGGAGGAGCGAGUUAAGAGACUCUAAGAGUUGGGGGAUCAGUAGUGAUCGCACCAGUUCCGGCUCGUUAAGUACGGCCGGGAGUCGCGACGAAGGUGUGGUGGACAGGCGUCGAGUGGAAUCGACUGCCUGGUCUCCCUCCUGUGGUUUGGGAUGAGUUUCGGGGAUCGGUAUUCUCUGUUUACUCCCCUGAUGGUGGAAAAGAAAGCUUCAGGAAAGGUUCUCGAAGCUGCGGCAGGUAGAUCGC
rnacentral:lncRNA from 1 species